rnacentral:rRNA from 1 species
UAGGGAAUCUUCCACAAUGGACGCAAGUCUGAUGGAGCAACGCCGCGUGAGUGAAGAAGGUCUUCGGAUCGUAAAGCUCUGUUGUUGGUGAAGAAGGAUAGAGGCAGUAACUGGUCUUUAUUUGACGGUAAUCAACCAGAAAGUCACGGCUAACUACGUGCCAGCAGCCGCGGUAAUACGUAGGUGGCAAGCGUUGUCCGGAUUUAUUGGGCGUAAAGCGAGCGCAGGCGGAAUGAUAAGUCUGAUGUGAAAGCCCACGGCUCAACCGUGGAACUGCAUCGGAAACUGUCAUUCUUGAGUGCAGAAGAGGAGAGUGGAACUCCAUGUGUAGCGGUGGAAUGCGUAGAUAUAUGGAAGAACACCAGUGGCGAAGGCGGCUCUCUGGUCUGCAACUGACGCUGAGGCUCGAAAGCAUGGGUAGCGAACAGGAUUAGAUACCCUGGUAGUCCAUGCCGUAAACGAUGAGCGCUAGGUGUUGGGGACUUUCCGGUCCUCAGUGCCGCAGCAAACGCAUUAAGCGCUCCGCCUGGGGAGUACGACCGCGAGGUUGAAAC